CUGGGAGCGUGGGGCUAUUUUCGAUGGAGUGUUUAACUGUUCACAAUGGCUGCUGACCUUCACAUAUUUUUCAGCUACCUGUCUUGCUACCCUGACUUGAUAAGAGCCACAUCAGAUGAUGCCAGUCCAACACCUGGGUACCUUCUACACAAAAUAUCAGAGGUGACCCUCACCUCGCCUGCCCAGACACCAAAGUUGGUAGACUUCAUGGUGGUCCGUCUGCAGAACACGUCCUCACCGACUGCCAAA
rnacentral:lncRNA from 1 species